rnacentral:sRNA from 1 species
UUGGCGCACUUUAUGAUUCCGAGCGAAGGUUAAAAUGGACAAGAAGGUGCUGUUGUAAAAUGGAGAAUUGAGAAGCAUUAAUAGCCUCUACAACAAGGAGAUAAUGCAGGAACGAAGAACUCAUGUCAAGCAUUGACAGCAUACAAAGUCAAUGUUUCCGGUGAUUAGUUGCAUCCUCUGUUCGGUGAUUCGGGUGAAUGUUUUGACCAGCUGGACGAUGUGAACGCAAGAUAAAUAGAACAGACAUAAAGUACAGCCCAGUGAAUGGAACAAGUUCAUCGCAAGAAGAAGAAUUUUAAUGCUACCACUGUCCAGAACUACUAAGUCUGCUGUAGCCAUGAUGUGAUCAUAUGAGUGCUUCACCGGUCUGGACAAUGCUCGAAAGUCCCCCAAAAAGGCCUAUUUCCAUAAACUACGACUCGGGUUACAUCAACAACAGCCAAGGACACUCCUUAUUGAUUCGAAUGGACACAUCUCUACGACCCGACUAAACCUCUGCAGAACAAGACUUUUUAACUGUAAAGUAUUCUCAUUUCAAAAAACCUAUAAACUAUAAAAGUACUUUUUUUAUAUGAUCAAAUAUCAGUAUAUUACAAUGUCUGUCUGUAAGCUAGAAUCUUAGAAAAUCACAUGGUUUUGACUUAUUAAAUGAUUGAUUAGACCUUGCAGAUAUUAACUUUCAUUUUCUUAAAUAAUUUGUUAUAUUUGCAAAUAUUGCAUAAAAUAUUAGACUCCAUGUAACAUAUAUCCUCACACCUCCAAGUUGAUAAGUGUUAACUACUUUUUUUUUCCAUUUUCUUUGUUUAAACAUUUAUUGAUAACUUAGUUUUUAUUUGCAGCAAUAUAUGAAAAAUUAAGAAACCAAUCUUAAAUGUAAAAACACUGCAUUAGGAGAUGAAUGCAUGGGUCAUAGAAAUGAUAAAAUACACCAAACAAUAUUCAAUUAUGUCGUAUAUGAAAAUAUAUAAAGACAACAUAUACCCCAUGUAUUACAAUUUUUAUAUAACAAAAUUACUUGGAUGGAAAGUUGUUUCCAUGUGGGUUUUAUUUUAAUCUGUGUUAUGUAACUAAUAUAUAAUUGGAAUUAGCUUUUAUAUCAUAAGUAAAGUGCUGGUAUUGAUGAGAAUUGUAAGGUGAAUGAUCUGUGUGAUACUUUGUAUUUUAUACAUUCAUGCUACAAAAAGCAAGUACAUGUACAUGUAGUAAUACUUGUCGUAUAUAAACAAUGUAUAUUUU